rnacentral:rRNA from 1 species
AGUGAACGCUGGCGGUAGGCCUAACACAUGCAAGUCGAACGGCAGCACAGUAAGAGCUUGCUCUUACGGGUGGCGAGUGGCGGACGGGUGAGGAAUACAUCGGAAUCUACUUUUUCGUGGGGGAUAACGUAGGGAAACUUACGCUAAUACCGCAUACGACCUACGGGUGAAAGCAGGGGAUCUUCGGACCUUGCGCGAUUGAAUGAGCCGAUGUCGGAUUAGCUAGUUGGCGGGGUAAAGGCCCACCAAGGCAACGAUCCGUAGCUGGUCUGAGAGGAUGAUCAGCCACACUGGAACUGAGACACGGUCCAGACUCCUACGGGAGGCAGCAGUGGGGAAUAUUGCACAAUGGGCGCAAGCCUGAUCCAGCCAUACCGCGUGGGUGAAGAAGGCCUUCGGGUUGUAAAGCCCUUUUGUUGGGAAAGAAAAGCAGCGGGUGAAUACCCGCCUGUUUUGACGGUACCUAAACAGAAAGCCCCGGCUAACUUCGUG